rnacentral:lncRNA from 1 species
UAUGAAUUCCAGAUUUGAUUUCAGACUCUGGGGAUGUAUAUUCCUCUUUUGGAACUUGUAUAUCCGGUCCUGGGAUGAAAAAAAGGUGGGGGGGGGAGGGAAGGGGGAGGGUCCCCAGCAUAACAAGCAUUCCUUGUGCUCCUUCUCUUUCACACGCUGAGCACGCCGGGAGGGACGAGAGCGCACACACACACGCACAGCGUCUGGAUAAACUCAGCCCGAUGCGCUUCGGAACUCAGAAGGACUUCAUUCUAAAACAGUGCUGAAGAACGUGAAGCACGAGGGUUCAGAAAGUUCACAAUGUGUAUCCUGAAAAGACUUACGCGUGGAUUUCAAAUUUUCGCACCAAAAUAAACUUAGCUUUGAAUUCCAUUUUCCACACACUUGCUCAAGUGCCCACCUAUAGUAACUUUCCUUUGAUCAGGUUGAUGUUUCCAAAGCGCUAGUCCCUUGGAUGCUGGCCUGGGGCGACCGUCCCGUGGAUGGCUUGUGCUUCAUUUCAUGAAUGACCAUUGAACAAGCUGGUUCUGAAUGCCUAGCCGGGUCCUGCAAGCUGCUUUUCUGGAAAAAUAAUUCGUGGCUCGCUCUGAAACAUCUGCUCUGAGCGACUUCCCAUGCUCCAAUGUACUCCUUUGGAGAUUACAACUCAGAUUGUACUUGCUGCGGUCUCGCACUUGGAUGACUCACGUUAGCCUCGUUGCUACUCCUCUGUUGCCCGCACUUCCUGUGAGAAGCAGCUACCGUGGCCUGGGAGAACCAUCAGAGAAGAUGGGGACCCCAGCUGCUCAGAGAGCCGACUGGAACUUGACCUCGCAGCUGGCACAUUUAACACAGACCCAAACAAUGCCAAACGUCUCAGCCGUGUGGAUGGUUCUGUUCUGUGCAACCGUACCCCUGAGUUUUCAACCAGCAGUCAAAGACAUCAUGAACCUGCCCACUACAUCAGCUGCAUGUGAGGCUCGGAAGCCGCAUAGCUUCCAGGAAAAGCCCCGGGCUUCCUCGUUCCCAGGGACUGCGUCUCUCUCAAGGCAAGGCUCCCAGCCUUGCUGAGUCGUUAGUAUGGACAGCUCAGCUCCUAAGAAAACAGAUCUUUGAAAGGCGCGACAGAAACAAGUUCUCCCUUGACCUCAGACUGCUCCUGAAGCCCAGGGUUCAUGUUUGCACUCUACACAUCAAUCUCUGCCCCCCAGGGGGGUCGGGGGCUGGCAGGCUGGGAGCAGGGCUCACGGCACCCUUCAAUCAGGCGUGGGCUGCGAGGGCGGGCUGUGCAUGACCCGAGCCCACUGAGAGUCUCUCUCUAGUCCUUUGGUAUUCCCUGGCAGAACGUGGUUCUGUACCGGCCUUGGACCAGAAUGGAGCAGAGAUCUGAAGUGGACUUUACUCCCAGCCAGCGUAGGAGAGGGAUGCUUCUGGCACCUCAGGCCCCUCUCUCCUUCCUUCCAGUGUGUAUUUGUGUGGUUUUAAAUUUGUGGAGAUUACAUACAUGCAUUUCAAAGCUUGAUCUAGGAGUGGAGGAGUUCUGUUUGUUGCCUGCACGAAGGCACGCGGUCUCUCCUCGGCUGUGGAUACCCAUGGGACCCAACCUUUGGAGCCACUGUGCUGGAAGCAUGGAGCCAAGCUGGAAACAGGGGGACAGUUU